AUACAGAGGGUGCGAGCGUUAAUCGGAAUUACUGGGCGUAAAGCGCGCGUAGGCGGCUUGGUCAGUCGGAUGUGAAAGCCCCGGGCUCAACCUGGGAAUGGCAUUCGAUACUGCCAGGCUAGAGUAUGGGAGAGGGAAGUGGAAUUUCCGGUGUAGCGGUGAAAUGCGUAGAUAUCGGAAGGAACACCAGUGGCGAAGGCGACUUCCUGGCCCAAUACUGACGCUGAGGUGCGAAAGCGUGGGGAGCGAACAGGAUUAGAAACCCCAGUAGUCC
rnacentral:rRNA from 1 species